CCUACGAGAGGCUGCAGUGAGGAAUAUUGGUCAAUGGCCGAGAGGCUGAACCAGCCAAGUCGCGUGAGGGAAGACGGCCCUACGGGUUGUAAACCUCUUUUGUCGGGGCGCAAAGAGAGUCACGUGUGACUCAUUGAGAGUACCCGAAGAAAAAGCAUCGGAUAACUCCGUGCCAGCAGACGCGGUAAUACGGAGGAUGCGAGCGUUAUCCGGAUUUCUUGGGUUUAAAGGGUGCGCAGGCGGAGGUGCAAGUCAGCGGUCAAAUUGCGGGGCUCAACCCCGUACUGCCGUUGAAACUGCAUCCCUUGAGUGCGCGAGAAGUAUGCGGAAUGCGUGGUGUAGCGGUGAAAGGCAUAGAUAUCACGCAGAACUCCGAUUGCGAAGGCAGCAUACCGGCGCGCAACUGACGCUCAUGCACGAAAGCGUGGGUAUCGAACAGGAUUAGAUACCCGGGUAGUC
rnacentral:rRNA from 1 species